GAGUGGGUGUGCGGAUCGGCACUGCUACUCGCCACGGUCCACUAGUAAUGGCUAGUACCUGGAUUAUUUUACAUCUUCCUGCUAAAUUCUUAUUUUGAGCGAAUUUGAGUUGUUGGAUGUCAACCGAGAACAAAAAAUGGAAUAUGGUCACAGAGGAAGACGGGAGCUGUUUGAUCACGUAAGUUAAGUGAACCUAUAUCUUGCAAAAAUAUGGCGAUAUCAUGUAAGAAAACAUUUUCCCUGUUAUUUUCUGUAACAACCUAACGUAACGUUAUGUUUUGUUUUCAUACCCUUAUUUAUGUAGCCCAGUCUAAAAAUGGGGAAAACAGAGGAGACAUGUGAAAGUUGUAAAACCUGCCGGAGUUUAAUUAUGCCCAUUAAGAGUUUCACCAGCGUGUAACGGACAUAUUGCAACCUGCAGAAGCAAAUGACUACAUCAGUGCAUCACCUGUGAGAUCAUGAGAAGGCUGAAGAACCAGGAGUGACAAGAUAUCACCGGAUGGUGGGGUACAGAAUUAAACCUAGGGACAGAUCAAGCAUUGGAACAAGGUUUAUGGGGGAGUACAGACACCCAACAGAGAGACAAGUCGAUCACUAAUGCACCAAGGAUCCAGCUGAUUACUGGCAAUUUGAGGAGGAUUGUUCUUUAUCUGCUAUGUUGCACUGUCACUUCUGGUACAGAUUCAUUGAUUUUUGUUUUGUUUUGUUUUUUUGUGUUAUGUUUUGAUUUUACUUAUUAAUACACUGUUUAGUUAGGAUUCUGAAUUAAAAGACAGUGUAAUGUUUGUCUACAUAUAUUAGAAAUAUACGGAGCCCCCAGGGGUCAGGAGAAUUUUGUGGAAAACAACAUAAAACUGAAUUGGUAAAUACAAGCUAAAAAAACAACAGACCACAACCCCCUCAGCUCAACAGCACAAUUUGUUGCUUUCUCCACCUGUUUCAAAGGUGAAAUCAUGACCUCAUCAUGAUAGUAACCCUAAUAGACAAGAUAGACACAUAGAGAAAUGACAUUUAGUUUUUCAAUUCCUCCUGGGUGGCUCAGAAGAACGGUUUGUAAAUAAUUGGUUGAUAUUGUAAAUUUACAUCUGAAUACAUUAAAAAAAAGUGUUUUAGAAUCAGUAGUGGUGUGUACUUUGUUUGUAAUUAAGUUUCCAACCCCACUUUAACUGUAGAUGUAUCAGUUUAUUUUGUAUUUCUUCAGUAUGUUUUCAGUUGCGGAUAUUUCACAGUAAUCUUAAAUCUUAUAUUUUAUGAGAAUUUGAAGAAACCUUUCUACUGUUAAUCAGUACAGUAAAUUAAAUAUUAAAUGUUGUAUUUAUACAUUUUGUAUUUCAUUCAAGGUUUGUACAAUUAAAUAUGGUAUUUAGAUUUUACUUUUACAGGUUUUAAUCUAAACACAAACACUGCCAGUCAAGUUUGAGAUGAUUUUAAUCUGUUUUAUACAGCAUUUUUAGAGACUUUUUAUUUUGUCUUCCAAAAUAAAACUGGUAUUUUACAAUCUUUAGCAUGUGUUAACUCUUAAUUGAAGGUGUUUGAUCAUAAUAAUUCAGGAAAUACCUGUAAAAUAACGGUGUUUCUCUGUAAAACUUUUAAUGAAAAUUUCUGUAAAUGUAUUGUUUUUGCACUUUAUUUGAAUAAGGAUAUUUUACUUUAAUUUUAUGGUUUUUGCCAGUCAUUUGACCAUUUAUUUAUUUAUUUUUUACAGUGUAGUCCCUUCAGGGUAUACAAAAUCCAGUUUACAUUUGUAUUUUUGA